rnacentral:rRNA from 1 species
AUUGAACGCUGGCGGCAGGCUUAACACAUGCAAGUCGAGCGGAGAUGAGGUGCUUGCACCUUAUCUUAGCGGCGGACGGGUGAGUAAUGCUUAGGAAUCUGCCUAUUAGUGGGGGACAACAUUCCGAAAGGAAUGCUAAUACCGCAUACGUCCUACGGGAGAAAGCAGGGGAUCUUCGGACCUUGCGCUAAUAGAUGAGCCUAAGUCGGAUUAGCUAGUUGGUGGGGUAAAGGCCUACCAAGGCGACGAUCUGUAGCGGGUCUGAGAGGAUGAUCCGCCACCCUGGGACUGGGACACGGCCCAGACUCCUACGGGAGGCAGCAGUGGGGAAUAUUGGACAAUGGGGGGAACCCUGAUCCAGCCAUGCCGCGUGUGUGAAGAAGGCCUUAUGGUUGUAAAGCACUUUAAGCGAGGAGGAGGCUACUGAGACUAAUACUCUUGGAUAGUGGACGUUACUCGCAGAAUAAGCACCGGCUAACUCUGUGCCAGCCGCCGCCGUAAAAC